rnacentral:rRNA from 1 species
AGGGCGUACGGUGAAUGCCUUGGUGCCAACAGGCGAAGAAGGACGCGGCAAGCUGCGAAAAGCCUCGGGAAGCUGCAAGCAAGCGAUGAUCCGGGGAUAUCCGAAUGGGGUAACCUGAUCGAGGCAAUACUCGAUCGUUCAUACCUGAAUACAUAGGGUAUGAAACGCGAAACCCGCUGAAGUGAAACAUCUCAGUAAGCGGAGGAAAAGAAAGAGAAAUCGAUUCCGUAAGUAGUGGCGAGCGAAAGCGGAUGGAGCCCAAACCGAAGGUAUUCCUUCGGGGUUGUAGGACCACGUCAUAUUCGACCAUACUGGAUAGUAGAACAGCCUGGAAAGGCUGGCCGGAGAAGGUGAAAGCCCUGUAGACGAAAUCCAGAGUGGGAAUUAGUGGUAUCCUGAGUAAUACAUCACACGUGGAACGAUGUAUGAACCCGCGCGGACCACCGCGCAAGGCUAAAUACUAGUUGGCGACCGAUAGUGAACAAGUACCGCGAGGGAAAGGUGAAAAGAACCGCUGUGAGCGGAGUGAAAUAGAACCUGAAACCGUAUGUCUACAAAGUGUCAGAGCAGAGCAAUCUGCGAUGGCGUGCCUUUUGUUUAAUGAGUCUGCGAGUCAGUGUUUGUGGCAAGACUAAGGGCUUCCGGCCCGGAGUCGCAGCGAAAGCAAGUCCGAACAGGGCGCAAUAAGUCGCAGGUACUGGACCCGAAGCGGAGGUGACCUACCCUUGGCCAGGUUGAAGCAUGGGUAAAACCAUGUGGAGGACCGAACAGGUGAACGUUGAAAAGUUCUCUGAUGAGCUGAGGGUAGGAGUGAAAGGCUAAUCAAACCCCGUGAUAGCUGGUUCUCUUCGAAAUGCAUUUAGGUGCAGCGUCACGUGCUGAUGCGCGGGGGUAGAGCACUGACAAGGCUAGGGGGCACACCCGCUUACCAAACCUUAUCAAACUCCGAAUACCGUGCAAUGGAACGUGGCAGUGAGACAGUGGGGGAUAAGCUUCAUUGUCGAGAGGGAAACAACCCAGACCAGCAGCUAAGGUGCCUAAAUAACGCUCAGUGGAAAGGAUGUGGGAUUACACAGACAGUGAGGAUGUUGGCUUAGAAGCAGCCACCAUUUAAAAAAUGCGUAAUAGCUUACUCAUCGAGUGAUCCUGCGCCGAAAAUGAUUGGCGAUCAAGCGUUAUACCGAAGCUCUGGACUUUGCCGCAAGGCAGAGUGGUAGAAGAGCGUUGCAUGCGCGUCGAAGGGCGAUGGCGACUGACCCUGGAGCACAUGCAAGUGAGUAUGCAGACAUGAGUAACGUUAAGCCGGGUGAAAUCCCCGGCCGCCGUAAACCCGAGGUUUCCAGGGCAACGUGUUUCGUCCCUGGGUUAGCCGGGACCUAAGCCGAGGCCGAGAGGCGUAGGCGAUGGACAUCAGGUUAAUAAUCCUGAGCUCGCAACCCUUAAACUGGGGGGACGCAUGAGAAAAGAUGACUAGGUUAUUGAAUUCCGAGUUGAGUCUACGGACUCAGCGCAUCAUUGGAUCGAGUGCCAAGAAAAGCCCCAGCGUAUGCUAAGCGACCCGUACCGCAAACCGACACAGGUGGGUGGGUAGAAUAUACCAAGGCGUAAGAGUGAAACCUGGUUAAGGAACUCGGCAAAUUAGCCCCGUAACUUCGGAAGAAGGGGUGCCUGCAGCGAUGCAGGCCGCAGAGAAAUGGCCCAACCGACUGUUUAUCAAAAACACAGCACUCUGCAAAGACGCAAGUCGAAGUAUAGGGUGUGACACGUGACCAAUGCCGAAAGAUUAAGGCAAGGGGUUAGCCGCAAGGCGAAGCUCUAAACCCAAGUCCCGGUGAAUGUCGGCCGUAACUAUAACGGUCCUAAGGUAGCGAAAUUCCUUGUCGGGUAAGUUCCGACCUGCACGAAUCGUGAAACGAGUUGGGCACUGUCUCAACCAGGCGCUCAGUGAAAUUGUAGUGGCGGUGAAGAUGCCGCCUACCCGCAGAAGGACGGAAAGACCCUAUAGACCUUAACUGUAAGCUGUCAUUGUUUCUUCGGUUUUAAUGCUCAGAGUAAGUGGGAGACGCUGAAGACGCCCUUUAGGGGGCGUCCGAGUCAUCAAUGAGACACCACCCUUUGAAACUGGAGGAUCUAACCCUGAGCCGUGAAUCCGGCCAGAGGACCGUGUCAGCCGGUCAGUUUUACUGGGGCGGUAUCCUCCCAAAGAGUAACGGAGGAGCGCGAAGGUGGGCUCAGCCCGGUUGGCAACCGGGUGUCGAGUGCAUGGGCAUAAGCCCGCCUAACUGUGAGACCAACAAGUCGAGCAGAUGCGAAAGCAGGCCCAAGUGAUCCGGCGGUAGAAAGUGGAAUUGCCGUCGCUCAACGGAUAAAAGGUACCUUAGGGAUAACAGGCUGAUCACGCCCAAGAGUUCAUAUCGACGGCGUGGUUUGGCACCUCGAUGUCGGCUCGUCGCAUC